GUCAACAAGUAAAAUAAUCUAACUGUCAAAUUUAUACUACUUCUCGUUAAUUCUACAUCAACAUACCAAAAAAACUUCUUUUUGAGUCCUUAAGCGAUUACAUAAGUUGUUAAUUUAUUCUGUGAAUAUAAUCAUAAAUAUAUGAUCAGUACAAUGUUGAAAGGAAUAAUAAUUUUUGGCGGUGGCAUCUACACAGGCGUUUAUAUAGCACAGAAUUAUCAGAUUGACAAAGUCGAGGAUCCUAAAGUUCUAUAUGAAAAGGCUAAAGCGUUUAUCUGUGCUAAAUUGACAGAAUUCAA